rnacentral:rRNA from 1 species
GACGAACGCUGGCGGCGUGCUUAACACAUGCAAGUCGAACGGAAAGGCCCUGCUUUUGUGGGGUGCUCGAGUGGCGAACGGGUGAGUAACACGUGAGUAACCUGCCCUUGACUUUGGGAUAACUUCAGGAAACUGGGGCUAAUACCGGAUAGGAGCUCCUGCUGCAUGGUGGGGGUUGGAAAGUUUCGGCGGUUGGGGAUGGACUCGCGGCUUAUCAGCUUGUUGGUGGGGUAGUGGCUUACCAAGGCUUUGACGGGUAGCCGGCCUGAGAGGGUGACCGGCCACAUUGGGACUGAGAUACGGCCCAGACUCCUACGGGAGGCAGCAGUGGGGAAUAUUGCACAAUGGGCGGAAGCCUGAUGCAGCAACGCCGCGUGCGGGAUGCCGGCCUUCGGGUUGUAAACCGCUUUCGCCUGUGCCGAAGCGUGAGUGACGGUAAUGGGUAAAGAAGCACCGGCUAACUACGUG